UAUUACAAAAGGCAAAGACAACAAAGCAGUUAUUGCAAGUAAUAUAAUGCAAAUGACCAUGAACUCCAGUUUUCCAUGGUUGAUGGUGAUUUCAAGAAGUUUGAAGGAAAAUGGUCUGUCAAAUCUGGUAAAAGGUCGUGCUAACUCCGACACAUUUAGCUAUUGUGAUGGAAUAUGCUGCUGGUGGAGAGCUCUUUGCAAAAAUUUGUAGUGCUGGUGGAUUCAAUGAAGAUGAGGCUCGCUUUUUCUUCCAGUAAUUAAUAUCUGGUGUUAGUUCCUGUCAUUCAAUGGAAAUCUGUCACAUGGACUUGAACUAGAAAACACACUUUUGGAUGGGAGUCCAACACCACAUCUUAAAAUAUGUAAUUUUGGUUAUUCUAAGACUGAUUUGUUGCACUCACAACCCAAAUCGGCGGUUGGAACACCAGCAUAUAUUGCACUUGAGGUCCUGUCAAGGAAGGAAUAUGAUGGGAAGUACAAUGCUAUUAAAUGCUCUUGAGGAGGUGAAAAAGGUUGGCUUUUGGAUAUGCUCAUGAAGAUGACUUCAGUUUGACAUAAAUUGCUGCUUUAGUCUAUGUUUUUGUUUGGAAAGAGUACUUUGUUUUUUUGGAUGCGUAAUGGCUGUUACUAGUUGAACUGGUGUGAAUUUAGUACUCUAUUGUUUGGAUGGAUAAUGGCUGUUAGUACUUGAACUAAUGUGGGCUUUGGAACCCAUUUUGGUUAAUGUGUGUUGUGAUG